GUGGGGAAUAUUGGACAAUGGGCGAAAGCCUGAUCCAGCCAUGCCGCGUGUGUGAAGAAGGUCUUCGGAUUGUAAAGCACUUUAAGUUGGGAGGAAGGGCAUUAACCUAAUACGUUAGUGUUUUGACGUUACCGACAGAAUAAGCACCGGCUAACUUCGUGCCAGCAGCCGCGGUAAUACGAAGGGUGCAAGCGUUAAUCGGAAUUACUGGGCGUAAAGCGCGCGUAGGUGGUUCGUUAAGUUGGAUGUGAAAGCCCCGGGCUCAACCUGGGAACUGCAUCCAAAACGGGCGAGCUAGAGUACGGUAGAGGGUGGUGGAAUUUCCUGUGUAGCGGUGAAAUGCGUAGAUAUAGGAAGGAACACCAGUGGCGAAGGCGACCACCUGGACUGAUACUGACACUGAGGUGCGAAAGCGUGGGGAGCAAACAGGAUUAGAUACCCUUGUAGUCC
rnacentral:rRNA from 1 species